rnacentral:lncRNA from 1 species
AUGCCAGAGCUGCAUUUCCCAUGGAUUGAACAUCCUGAACAUCCCAGGGCUGAUCUCCUGUGGAUCCAGAAUCUCAAACAUCCCAGCACGGAUCUCCUGUCAAUCCAGAAUCCCAAACAUCCCAGGGCUGCUCUCUCACAGAUGGAGCAUCCCAAACAUCCCAGGGCUGCUCUCCAGACAUUCCCAGGUCUCUGCCCCCCAGGACAGAGCAGUUAAAGGUUUCCCGGGGUAUCCAAGCCAUCCACAACCUCUCUCCUGUCCCUGCCAGUGCACCCCAACUCCUGCUCCUCACAGAGAUGCCCCCACGCACAACAACUGCACUAAAAACUGCCCCAAAAUGGGGUUUUUUUUGCAUUAAAAACUGCCCCAAAAUGGGGUUUUUUUGGGCAGCAAACUGAUGUUUGAUAAAGUUGGGUUCGACAGCUCAGUGUUUAAUCAUGACAAAAUGCUCGAAUCCGCCCUAAAAUGAUUAAAAAUUAAAAUCCUCCAGGUCAGGUUUUGCUGCCACCAGAGCUGAGCUCUGAGAGAUUCCACCCCGCUUUCAGCUCCUUCACCCCAAACCAUCCACGUUCCCUUCGCUGAGGAGGUGACCCCAAACCCAUCCCAAAUAUCUGGGAAAGCUCCCAUUCCCCCAUCACCCUUCGGAAAAACCGAUAAACAUUUCUAGAGAGAAAAACAAAGCACUCCUCGUUUGGCUUUUUUGGAGGUUGUUUUUCUUGAAGAGACAAAGUGUUCCACAGAGAGCCGACACUUCCUACACAAGUUUGCAUCCUCAAACCCCGAGAUUUUCUGCCACGGAUUUGGAUGGGAAAAGCAUCUCCAGCCCUCCCCGCCCCAGCCAGGAUCACCAAGCACCACAGGGAGAUGGAGAUCUCCUCCCUUCACCAAAUUUUCCCGCUCUCAUUCGGGAAUAAAUGAGGAAUAAUCGAAUUUUCCGGGUUUACAAAUAACCUCGCGAAGCAUAAAAACAACUCUCGUGCCUCAGCUCUUGUUCCUGAUCAAUUUAGGGUGAGUUUAGGAGGGAAAAAAUAUGGUCCCAAAGCAUCCUUAGAGGUUCAGGAGUAAGAAAAAAUUGUAUGUACUUAUAAAUGAA